rnacentral:rRNA from 1 species
AGUGAACGCUGGCGGUAGGCCUAACACAUGCAAGUCGAACGGCAGCACAGUAAGAGCUUGCUCUUACGGGUGGCGAGUGUCGGACGGGUGAGGAAUACAUCGGACUAUACUUUUUCGCGGGGGCUAACGUAGGGAAACUCACGCUAAUAACGCAUACGACCUACGGGUUAAAGCAGGGGAUCUUCAGACCUUGCGCGAUUGAAUGAGUCGCUGACGGAUUGGACAGUAGGCGGGGUAAAGGCCCACCAAGGCGACGAUCCGUAGCUGGUCUGAGAGGAUGAUCAGCCACACUGGAACUGAGACACGGUCCAGACUCCUACGGGAGGCAGCAGUGGGGAAUAUUGGACAAUGGGCGCAAGCCUGAUCCAGCCAUACCGCGUGGGUGAAGAAGGCCUUCGGGUUGUAAAACCCUUUUGUUGGGAAAGAAAAGCAGCAGGUUAAUACCCCGCUGUUCUGACGGUACCCAAAGAAUAAGCACCGGCUAACUUCGUG